GGGGAGCCGCGGUGAAUGUGGGCAGAUGGAGCGGUGGAAAAUCCCGAGGAGCGUGCGACACCGGGCGCAGGUGGAACCGGCGUCACCUGACCCCGCGGUGUGGGCGUCUGUCCGGCAGCUUGGCGCCUCAGGAGCCGACGUCAAAGAUUCCUGGGCUGCUUAGGUUUUAUGGUUGUGCCAAAGGAGCCCACAUCCAGUCUCAAUGCCGGUUCUGUCAAAAGAGGAUCCUUAUUAGAUGGCUUUUGUCUCGUCCUUUACUCUGUGUUUUCAAAAUGUGGCCUCUGAAUCUUCAGUCUCAAGGCCACCCGACAAAGGACGUCUCUGGCCUUUGCUUGCAGGAUACCUCCCGAAGCACACACCCCCAACCCCCGCCUUCUUAUUAGAAUUUGAAAAUAAGGAGGACACAUCAGAAGCAUGAAUUUGAACAGGGACUUAUUUCUCCAGAAAUUGAAAUCCCGGGCCUCUAGUAUGAUUUCGAUCAGGCUAGAGCUGACACAACACCUCAAAAUUGUAUGUUUGUCGAUUCCAAAGGUCCUUUAGAGAGUAGAAACAGCCGUCCUUAUAAUUUGGGUACACUGAGUCAUGGCCUAACAGAUGCACCCCAUUAUUAAGUAUGAGCUCACCUGCUGUAUGGAGGAAACACCCACAUUUCUCCCAUGUGGUUAGAUACACAAACCAGCACUUGAGUUCUAAAGAUGUUCUUAAUGUCUAAUGUGUGAACCAGCAGGACAUGACUUUAUGUGCAGCCAUGUGUGUGCAGAAGCUCAUGGAGGCUGGAAUGAGGCAUUGGAACCCCCUGGACCUGAAGUUAUAGGCGGUUAUGAGCUCUCCUGUGCGUAUUGGGAACUUAACCCGGGUCCUCUUCCAAAGCAGUAAGCACUCAGCCACUGAGCCACCUCUCCAGUCCCAACAGUUGAGUGUCUGUUAGGCUGUUAGACUUGGACUCGAAAGUUAUGACAUCUAAAUACCUUAGUUUUCCUACCAGAGCCCCAGUAUAUAUGCCAGUCGAGGAAAGAAGCGGUAAAACCAUGUGAUGAUCCCAACAUAAGAAACUUGGACCACAGUUUGCAAAUGAUGCUUUCCCUUAAAGACACCGCCACCAUCUUUAAUCUUUCAGUGAAGUAUCUCCUCUCUAGUUCUAACAAGAAGGAAAUGCCACAAAAUCAAGAGUAGAUUCCAACUUGAAUGCUGAAAAUUUAAGACGUGCUGUGCAAGAAUUCUGAGACAAGUGUGCUCUUUGUGACAUGUCAUUUUGUAGACUUUCAAGAGACUAAAAAUUCAUGGUAAAGCCAGUCCCUAUCUUUUCGACGUCAUGUUACUCUGACAAGGAUUAAGCUGAGCCAUGACAUGUUUUGAAAAAGGAAAGCCUAGAUAUCUUCUAAAGAGGACAAAGAACCCACAAGGUCUGGAAACAAAGCCCAAACUCCAUGACUCACUAACUGAGGACAUUGAUCUGGAAACAGAGCCCAAACUCUGUGACUCACUAACUGAGGACUUUGAUAAGUUAUGUAAACUCUCCGAGCUUUUGUUUCCUUAUCUGAAAACUUCGGAAUCUUAGAACCUACACUGUGGGGUUAAUGACAGAUACUUAUAACCCACAUAAGUGGGUGCUGUAAAUUGUGUUUUAUUAGUUUUCAUGUUUGAUGUUUAUCCUGCACUGAGCUCUCCAGAAAUUGUGUAGUAUGUAUUCAUUUCCACAGAGCAGUAAGUAAAUGCCUCUUCCACAAAUUGUUCACAGAGAAAAUUAUGUAGCUUAUUGAAUAAUAAAAAUCUCCCCGUGUCUCAUA